GACGAACGCUGGCGGCGUGCCUAAUACAUGCAAGUCGAACGCUGAAGGAGGAGCUUGCUUCUCCGGAUGAGUUGCGAACGGGUGAGUAACGCGUAGGUAACCUGCCUGGUAGCGGGGGAUAACUAUUGGAAACGAUAGCUAAUACCGCAUAAGAGUAGAUGUCGCAUGACAUUUGCUUAAAAGGUGCAACUGCACCACUACCAGAUGGACCUGCGUUGUAUUAGCUAGUUGGUGAGGUAACGGCUCACCAAGGCAACGAUACAUCGCCGACCUGAGAGGGUGAUCGGCCACACUGGGACGGUGACACGGCCCAGACUCCUACGGGAGGCAGCAGUAGGGAAUCUUCGGCAAUGGACGGAAGUCUGACCGAGCAACGCCGCGUGAGUGACGAAGGUUUUCGGAUCGUAAAGCUCUGUUGUAAGAGAAGAACGAGUGUGAGAGUGGAAAGUUCACACUGUGACGGUAACUUACCAGAAAGGGACGGCUAACUACGUG
rnacentral:rRNA from 1 species